rnacentral:tRNA from 1 species
GCCAGUUUGGUCUAGUGGUUAAGGUACCAGUUUAGAAAGCAGGAGAUGUGAGUUCUAGUCUCACCUUAGGCA